rnacentral:rRNA from 1 species
GACGAACGCUGGCGGCGUGCUUAACACAUGCAAGUCGAACGGAAAGGCCCUGCUUUUGUGGGGUGCUCGAGUGGCGAACGGGUGAGUAACACGUGAGUAACCUGCCCUUGACUUUGGGAUAACUUCAGGAAACUGGGGCUAAUACCGGAUAGGAGCUCCUGCUGCAUGGUGGGGGUUGGAAAGUUUCGGCGGUUGGGGAUGGACUCGCGGCUUAUCAGCUUGUUGGUGGGGUAGUGGCUUACCAAGGCUUUGACGGGUAGCCGGCCUGAGAGGGUGACCGGCGACAUUGGGACUGAGAUACGGCCCAGACUCCUACGGGAGGCAGCAGUGGGGAAUAUUGCACAAUAGGCGGAAGCCUGAUACAGCAACGCCGCGUGCGGGAUGACGGCCUUCGGGUUGUAAACCGCUUUCGCCUGUGACGAAGCGUGAGUGACGGUAAUGGGUAAAGAAGCACCGGCUAACUACGUG